UGAGGAAUAUUGGUCAAUGGGCGCAAGCCUGAACCAGCCAUCCCGCGUGCAGGAAGACGGCCCUAUGGGUUGUAAACUGCUUUUCCAGGGGGAGAAUUUUUCUGUCGUGACAGGAAUUGACGGUACCCUGGGAAUAAGCAUCGGCUAACUCCGUGCCAGCAGCCGCGGUAAUACGGAGGAUGCGAGCGUUAUCCGGAUUCAUUGGGUUUAAAGGGUGCGUAGGCGGACUAUUAAGUCAGUGGUGAGAUCCUGCAGCUUAACUGCAGAACUGCCAUUGAUACUGUUAGCCUUGAGUACGGUCAAGGUAGGCGGAAUGUGUAAUGUAGCGGUGAAAUGCUUAGAUAUUACACAGAACACCGAUUGCGAAGGCAGCUUACUGGGCCAUUACUGACGCCGAUGCACGAAAGCGUGGGGAGCGAACA
rnacentral:rRNA from 1 species